AACGUAGGUGGCGAGCGUUAUCCGGAUUUACUGGGCGUAAAGCGUGUGCAGGCGGGGCUCCAAGUGGUGUAUGAAAUUUCCCAGCUUAACUGGGAGAGGUUAUGCCAGACUGGAGUUCUAGAGUGCGAGAGAGGGGCGUGGAAUUCCGGGUGUAGUGGUGAAAUGUGUUGAUAUUGGAAGGAACGCCGGUGGCGAAAGCGGCUCACUGGAUCGAAACUGACGCUGAGGUGCGAAAGCUAGGGUAGCAAACGGG
rnacentral:rRNA from 1 species